AAUGAACGCUGGCGGCAGGCUUAACACAUGCAAGUCGAGCGGAGAGAGGUAGCUUGCUACUGAUCUUAGCGGCGGACGGGUGAGUAAUGCUUAGGAAUCUGCCUAUUAGUGGGGGACAACACUUCGAAAGGAAUGCUAAUACCGCAUACGUCCUACGGGAGAAAGCAGGGGAUCUUCGGACCUUGCGCUAAUAGAUGAGCCUAAGUCGGAUUAGCUAGUUGGUGGGGUAAAGGCCUACCAAGGCGACGAUCUGUAGCGGGUCUGAGAGGAUGAUCCGCCACACUGGGACUGAGACACGGCCCAGACUCCUACGGGAGGCAGCAGUGGGGAAUAUUGGACAAUGGGCGGAAGCCUGAUCCAGCCAUGCCGCGUGUGUGAAGAAGGCCUUAUGGUUGUAAAGCACUUUAAGCGAGGAGGAGGCUACUUUAGUUAAUACCUAGAGAUAGUGGACGUUACUCGCAGAAUAAGCACCGGCUAACUCUGUGCCAGCAGCCGCCGUAA
rnacentral:rRNA from 1 species